rnacentral:lncRNA from 1 species
GUCUCAGACUGAGGGAAAAGCAUAAAGAAACGCUGGCUGUGGACGCACCUUGGAAGGAGGCAAAGGAGAAAAGAAAGCAAGCACCCGACACAGCCCAGCGAGGCCCCAAGGAGGCCCCACGCCCCACUGCCUGUCUGCACUCUGCUGAAACCCACAUCCACGCCCCCAGGCCAGCUGGCAUCUUCCACGCUUCCCUGCUCUCUUGGGGCCUCCUCCCUCACGCCCUCAGUGUCACCUCGCCCUUUGCCCAAGACCAACAGACACCUGCCCACACGCAUGCAGGCCCAGAGUGGCCCGACCAGGCUUCCUCGCCCCUUGUUCUGUCCAGACACAAAGCUGACAUGGGAGUCCGGUCGGCAGACUCAUCCCCACACCCUGUACAAAGCUGGACACCCGCGGAGACCUCCGGAAGCCAAGAUCUAAGCGCUUCGAUCCCACAUUCACAAGCCCCCUCAGCGGGGAUUCCCAGACGCACGCUUCUCCUGAGAGAGUCCAGCCCCUCCUGGCGGCCGUGGUCCCUGGAUGCGGGUGCUCGAGGCCUGUUCUUCUCCCUGUGGCGGUGGUGAGUGUAAUGCCUCAGAAGACUCUGCCAGGGCAUUAAACAAAGUCAUACGCGAACCCCCCGGUGCACGGCAGGUGGGUGAUGUGGGUUCUCCUUCCUUGCCUUCCACCAUCUGGGACUGGGGCCAGCACAGAACCUGUGCCCCAUAUGGUCAGGGAAGGCAGGGGGACAGCUCCUAGAGCUGAGCCUUGCAGAUGGGCACUCUUACAGCCGGGCCUCCACAUCCAGUUUGAGUGCUCAUGUGUGGUGUUGGGGAAAGGGGUCGUUCAGGUCACACUGGUGGGCAAUUCUUCAGGGGACUUUGUCACCUGUGUGCUUAUGCGUGAGCAACAGCGCCUGAUGACUCUUGGGAAGAGCCACAACAAAGCGAGGGCCUGCAGGCGGCAGUGGCCAGGGAACCCUAGGUAAGGCCCUAACACGUGCGGUCCCCUGAUCUGCGGGUGGGGCAGCCUUCACUGGAGGGGGAGUGAGUCUCAGUGAAUCAGAGUGGGUACAUGUGGAGCUGCAGGUCAGCAGCUCAACAGGGAUGAGUAAGGUGCUUUCAGAGGCCACGUUAACCACAUCUGGCUGGGAAGGAACCAGUUAGCAAACCUCUCUUUCCCUGCCCUGUUUCCAGCCCACAGGAACUCAAGCAGCUUCAGAGAAGGUCUUACUUGUUUCCGGGGAGAGGCCAGAGGCUCCGGGAACCCAAUUCAAUAUGUAAUAUAUAGCAGUGUCCACGCUAUGGUCUAAGCAAAGGCAAGAGGAGAAAUAAGGUUGAUGGAUGGCUCCAUCCUUAGCACGCGUUUAUGGACACCCACCCAGCCUUCUCCCAGCCGCCACGGCUCUCCACACACAGACAAAAGCAAAGCCCUUUGACCUUAAGCAGAAAAGUACACUGUCUCAACAUACUUUUAUAGAGUACCUGCUAAGCCUGGGGCCACCUAGGGGAGAUUGGAGGGUCCCUCUAGCAUGGCUGCAGCCCAUGCACAGCAGGAGGAUCUGUGUGGCCAGACGGGGAGGCUGGUGACAGUGGCGCAGACACAGCACUCAGAGGCCUCCAGGUGCGGAGAAACAACAUGUGACGCAGACACCAUGCUCUGUUCCCAGUGCGUCCCCAACACACACACGUAUAUAUACACGACCAUGCCCAUGUGCACUUACAUAAUACACAUGCACAUACGCACACGUGUACGUAACAGACGCACAUGCUGACAAACACACACGAUACACACACACACACGCAUACAUUUCCUCGGCCUUCGGGAAAAUGGAGUUCAACCUCCCAUCUGAAGUUGAACUCGUUUCUUCAGAAGUGAGUCUGAGUCUUCAUUUCUCAGGCACAGAUGUGCAAGGAAACCAUUCCUUCUCCUCCUCAGGCCUUCUCAGUGCCCUGGUAAUAUUUACACAGUUAUUUAACAAGCAAGGCUGAGCUUUCCUUUCAACUGGCAAUUAAAAUCAGAACAUAGAGACAAGCUUUGUAAAGCUUGGUUUCCAUAGAGGAUAAUUUUCUUCCAUGGGUUUAAAAAAAUGAGAAUCUUGACUGAAACUGUAGGUACUCACGUCAACAGUAAUGCCCACUCAGUCUUCCAAAUUGAGAUAGAAUGUGACUACCUUUUGCUGGAGGUUAGAAAUAGUUCAAAUUUGUAUAAUUUGUUUCCCAAUUUAAUAAGAAAAACAACAGGGGUGAAAAUGGUCAGGCUGCGCUGAGCGCUGGGCAAAGGCAGGCUGUUCUGAUUCCCGCCCAGCAGACCCCUCAGACGGGCUCCCCUGGCGUCCCUCUGCUGGGACUUCCCAUGUCCCUGUUGUCUUGAAGAAAGGAACAAGACAUAUAGGCCGGUUCAUUUUUAAUCUGCUGCUGGUGUGGCCCAGUCCCCUCAACCAGACUGCUGGCAACUUUAAGUUGGAGACAGUUCUUGGAAGCAGGCUCAGUGCUGAGUUGGUUUUGACAUAAGAAUACAUACACAGACAGACAGACAGAGAGAUAUACUGUAGCUGACAUUUACUAAAUGCCAGUCACCUUUUAAACAAUUUAUAUCAAUGAUUUCAUCCUCACUAAACUUUGUGACGCGGGUUACAGCAAUGGCAAAUGCGUAUCAACACGUAUCUAGCACCACGUGUGGGUUACAACAGCAGCAAAUGCGUAUCAACACGUAGCUAGCACCACGUGCCACCACAUGCAAGCACUGUUGUGUUUAUAUCUGUGACCUCAUUCAGCUUUCAUAAACUUAUGAGGUUGUUAUUAUCAUGAUCCCCACUUUAUAGACAAGGAAACUGAGGCUUACAAGGGUUAAGGAAUUGAGUCAAAGCCCCCCAGCUAGUAAGUGGUGAGGUCUGGAUUUAAACCCAGGCAGCCUGGCCUGGAGCCCCCACUGAUAAGACUGUCCUCGGCUGCCUCUCAGUGCAUGGCGAGCACCCUGUGAACAGUCGCCAAGAUAAAACCCAGCCCUGAGCACCUCCGCUGGGACCACACAACUGCUUCUGAUUCUCCGGGGGAGUGUGAGUGGAGAAAAGACCCUCACACAAAUGCCCCCACCCCCCCACCACGCACACACAAAGAAGUCAGGCUGGGCAGGAAAGACGCUUCAAACCAAAUGUCUGGACAAAGAAAAGAUGAGACUGGUGGAGGGGAACCGAGAAAGGCUCAUGGAAGGUACUGUGGUGGUGAAUAAGGAAGGACCCACAGAGUCCCACAGUCCCAGCAGUGGGGCGGGUCGGGAGGGGAACAGUGUGCUUCUGGGCCUAGGGGCAGCAGAGAGUGGCGGAGGAGACAAAUGUGCAUGAUUCCACACACAGGAAAUACCAAGAACAGGCACGCUCACAGGCAGGUUAGAGCUGGGGAGAGGCAGGAAAUGGGAAGUUAUUAUUGAAUGGGUACAGGGUUUCUGUUUGGGGUGAUGCACAUAUACGAGAAACGGUGGUGAUGGUUGUACAACAUUGUGAAUAGAAUUAAUGCCAGUGACUGUACACUUCAAAACGGUUAAAAUGGAGCCAGGUGCAGUGGCUCACGCCUGUAAUCCCAGCACUUUGG